UGAGUGAGAGAGUGAGUGAGUUAGUGAGAGAGUGAGUGAGAGAGUGAGUGAGUUAGUGAGAGAGUGAGUGAGUGAGUGAGUGAGUGUGUGAGUGAGAGAGUGAGUGAGUGAGUGAGUGAGAGAGUGAGAGAGUGAGUGAGUGAGUGAGUGAGAGAGUGAUGAGUUAGUGAGAGAGUGAGUGAGUGAGAGAGUGAGUGAGUGAGAGAGUGAGCGAGUGAGUGAGUGAGAGAGUGAGAGAGUGAGUGAGUGAGUGAGUUAGUGAGAGAGUGAGAGAGUGAGAGAGUGAGUGAGUGAGUGAGAGUGAGAGUGAUGAGUGAGUGAGUGAAUGAGAGAGUGAGAGAGUGAGUGAGUGAGUGAGAGAGUGAGUGAGUGAGUGAGAGAGUCACCCAGAAAAUCCUAAAGGAGAAUAUCCGUUCUUCGGUCCAUAAGCUGAAACUCAAGAACAACUGGAUUAUGCAGCAAGACAACGAUCCAAAGCGUAGGAGUUCGU
ensembl:lncRNA